CCUCUAAGCUCUCUGCCUGUCUCUUUAUCUCUUCUUCUCUCUUAUUAGACUUCUUAGUGGAUGUCGCGAGACAUCAAAUUCCGACGAGCUUUCAUCCAUUUUACUAUGAGUGACAUCAUAUUCCGGCAACUGAAUAAUUUCGAGAAAUUAAUUCAAUGUUCAUUUUCUGACUGAAUUAUAAGUUGAAGAGGAGAAGUUGCGUCAUGGAGGAGAGUGACGUGACGGCAUUUUCGAAGACAGAGGCGAGUGAGCUUCCAUUGAAGAAGCUAGGGAGGCAGUUUGAUUUCACGGUGAGGCGUAAAUCCUCGGCGAUUGAGAUAUUGUCGGAGCAUCCGCAAGCACUUUUGCAAUCGAAGUUGCUCGCACUCGCUAAGAGGCAAGCAAUGAUGUUUGCUACACAAUCACCACCACCGCCUCCGUCGAUGGCGCAGGUUAAGACAAUACUACCGUCAACGACACGGUUAAAUUCGCCGCGGCCAACGCAGGCAGUGGCACGAGUAUUUAGGACUCGUCCGGUACAAUCGCUGCCUCCAAUAAUGCAGCAAGUCGUCAAGACAGAGCCUCCUAACUCGCAAUACAAUUCCACUAUGAGACAGAAGAAUGGUACUCCCAAGAAGCAAAAGCAAUGCAAUUGUAAGAAUUCUCGAUGUUUAAAAUUGUAUUGUGAAUGCUUUGCCUCUGGAAUUUAUUGUGAUGGAUGUAACUGUCAAAACUGUCAAAACAACAUAGAGAAUGAAGUCAAUAGGAAGAUUGCACUCAGUGCAAUCUUGGAACGGAAUCCAAAUGCCUUCAGACCAAAGAUCACUAGCAGCCCUCAGGGACUAAAGAAUGGUGUGGUGGAAGUUGGUGAAGAUUCGCCUUCAGGAAAACACAAUAGAGGAUGCAAUUGCAAGAAAUCUGGAUGUCUCAAGAAGUACUGUGAGUGUUUCCAGGCUAAUAUUCUUUGCUCUGGAAACUGUAAAUGUGCAGAUUGUAAGAAUUUUGAUGGAAGCAACGGGAAAAGCUCUCUUUUCCAUUGGGCUCAUACAAAUCUAGCUGCAUUCAUCCAAGCCCACGCACCUAUCAAUGGAGCUAUUAGUAAUUCUUGGUUUGUUCCUACACCACCUACAAAGAAAAGAAAGAAUGGGGAAAUGCCUUCAGGAGACAAUUCUACUGAUAAAUCCAAUAAGUUUUCACAAUCCCAACAGGAUGCCUCUUCUGGUCCACUGUGUGCUACACCAUAUGACUUUGCAAUCCAAUCAGUUCCAGAGUCAUCUAACUGCAAGUACAGGUCUUUGUUAGCUAGCAUCAUCCAAUUGCAAAAUGUUGCGGAACUUUGCUCACUCUUGGUCACGCUAUCCAAAGAAGCUGCAAAGAUGCUAACAGAUGAUUUUCAAAAUCGAAGAGCAGUGUCUUCUGAGACACGGGCAUUGAUGUGUGACAACAGCCAUGACUUGGUCCCAGCAGCUGAAUUUGCAACUGGGAUUUCGGGUUGCAAUGCAAGGAUAAGUUUAAAUACAUCUUCCGGGGAUCACUUCAGCACUUUAUAUGCAGAACAAGAAAAGAUCAUCUUGACUACAUUCUGUAGUUUUCUUAACGAACUCGUCACUUAUGCAAGCAUAAAAGAAACAACUUUCUCACCACCGUCGAACGAAAAAUCAGGAAGUUGGCAACUUCCAACGGAGAAUGGUCAAUGUCCUGGCUAGGUUUGAGUGAUCUCUAGGUGGUUUCUCACUUUCUUGCAGAUCGUUGAUAGCUUUAUGAAUCAAGGUGGCUGUAGUGGCAUGUUGUAAAUACAGAGCUAAAUGGAUCCAUUAACACAGCCAUCUUGCCAUGCCUGUAGAAUAUUACUGGUUGUGGUUCAGUAAUACCUGUGCUCCAGUUUGCAGUCGUUUGAAGAAUCAGUUCUUAGAAAAGGCCAUUUUGGGGAGCGAGCUAACUGCUAGUACUCGGCUUGUCACGCCAUAAACUUUGUGGCUCAUGCAACUAGUUUACACUUUACAGGAACCUUCAU